UACGGGGGGGGCAAGCGUUGUUCGGAAUUACUGGGCGUAAAGGGCUCGUAGGUGGCCAACUAAGUCAGGCGUGAAAUCCCCGGGCUUAACCUGGGAACUGCGUUUGUGACUGCCAGGCUAGAGUACGGCAGAGGGGGGUGGAAUUCCACGUGUAGCAGUGAAAUGCGUAGAGAUGUGGAGGAACACCAAUGGCGAAGGCAGCCCCCUGGGUCGAUACUGACGCUCAUGCACGAAAGCGUGGGUAGCAAACAGG
rnacentral:rRNA from 1 species